rnacentral:rRNA from 1 species
GACAGAGGAUGCAAGCGUUAUCCGGAAUGAUUGGGCGUAAAGGGCGCGUAGGCGGCUCAUGAAGGCUGUGGUGAAAGUCCGGGGCUCAACCUCGGAUCGGCCGUGGCGACUCGUGGGCUGGAGCACUGUAGAGGCGGGUGGAAUUCCGGGUGUAGCGGUGGAAUGCGCAGAUAUCAGGAGGAACACCAAUGGCGAAGGCAGAUCUCUGGGCCGUAACUGACGCUGAGGAGCGAAAGCAUGGGGAGCGAACAGG